UUAUUACUCCCUCCGUCCGAAAAUACUUGUUGGAGAAAUGGAUAAAAAUGGAUGUAUCAAGAACUAAAAUACGUCUAGAUACAUCCAUUUCUCCGAUAAGUAUUUCCGGACGGAGGGAGUACUAG
rnacentral:pre_miRNA from 1 species